rnacentral:rRNA from 1 species
UACGUAGGGUGCGAGCGUUGUCCGGAUUUAUUGGGCGUAAAGCGCGUGUAGGUGGCCAAGUAGGUCCGCUGUGAAAACUUGAGGCUCAACCUCAAGCUGUCGGUGGAAACCCCUUGGCUAGAGUCCGGAAGAGGAGAGUGGAAUUCCUGGUGUAGCGGUGAAAGUGCGCAGAUAUCAGGAAGAACACCAAUGGCGAAGGCAGCUCUCUGGGACGGUACUGACACUGAGACGCGAAAGCGUGGGGAGCGAACAGG